UGCAAUAGUUGCUUUAUAAAUGUGGUCUAGAACCAAACCUGAAAUAUCUCUGGGUAUGCCAGUACUGGCCUUCUGACAAUAUGUCAGGAGGAGGAACAUCUGCUUCUAGACCUCGAUUGACUGCAGGUUUUCACAAAUUAAAACCAUCCAUCUUACUGGAAGAAAGACACAGUUAUCAAGAACAAAGGCAAUUUAACCAUAGAGAUUACAAAGUCCAUGGUGGAAAACAAAGUUUUCAUCAGCUCAACUCUUUAUUCUGAGUUUCUUUUAAUUUUCCAUUUAUAACUGUGAUUCUGAAUUUAA